ACAAAGAAGAAAAACUUCUUCCACGAGUUGAAGUUCGAAAUGAACUUCUUAACCACUGACAUAAAGUUCCGAGGGACCAGCCUAUGCUUGUCCGUAUCUUUGACGAGUUGAAGCCUCAAAAGCGCUUCAAAAUGAUCGACGGAAAGGGAAAGGCCAUGCUCGUAGCUCAGGAUCAGGAUCCCAAUAAGAUGCUGAAUGGCGAGAGGAGUCA
rnacentral:lncRNA from 1 species